CUCCCUCUCAGCAUGUGUAUAAAUAUGAGUGAUUGAAGGAGGAGCUGCAGUGUUAGUGGUAGAGUUUGUAGUAUUUUCAGUAGUAGUAUGAGUAGGCCCUCCCCCUCAGUGUGUGUAUAAAUAUGAGUGAUUGAAGGAGGAGCUGCAGCUCUUCAGCUUCGUUUCUUUAGCUGAACAGAAAACUCUCCAACAGCAGCAUGCUGCCACCGAACCUGUUGAUCGUGUCGAUAGUCAUUUUUCUGACGACAACCAUUUCUACGGCCCCUGUGGAGGAAAAGGAGCAGGAAGAGGUGGAGGUGGAGGCCACUGAGG